GGCUGGUUUGCUCAGUUGGUUAGAGCAUGGUGCUGAUAACACCAGGGUCCGGGGUUCAAUCCCCAUACCAGCCA